GUGGGGAAUAUUGGACAAUGGGCGCAAGCCUGAUCCAGCCAUGCCGCGUGAGUGAUGAAGGCCUUCGGGUUGUAAAGCUCUUUAGUCCACGAAUAUAAGGACUGUAGGGGAAGAAUAAGCCCCGGCUAACUUCGUGCCAGCAGCCGCGGUAAUACGAAGGGGGCGAGCGUUAUUCGGAAUCACUGGGCGUAAAGCGUGCGUAGGCUGUUUUGUAAGUCAGAAGUGAAAGCCCAGGGCUUAACCCUGGAAUUGCUUUUGAAACUACAAGACUCGAAUUCGGGAGAGGAUAGCGGAAUUGUCAGUGUAGCAGUGAAAUGCGUAGAUAUUGACAGGAACACCAGUGGCGCAAGCGGCUAUCUGGACCGAUAUUGACGCUGAGGCACGAAAGCGUGGGGAGCAAACAGGAUUAGAAACCCGGGUAGUCC
rnacentral:rRNA from 1 species